AGGAUGAGUAGGUAGCCAGGACGCCUAGGAGCAGAAUCUGGGCAUCUCAUCCCCCGUGAAAAGUUAACCCCGGCUGCUGAAGCCCGAGUUGGUGAAGUGUUGGAGAUUCACUCCAGGGCCGCAGGAGAACAAGAGAAUCAGAAGAAGAAUCCGAGCGCGAACAGAAUCAGUCUCCAAGCCCGGUAUUUGCGGCAAGAUGUUCCCACAUGUCUAGUGGGUUGGAUAGCUAAGAAUACAUGUCAUUUGUUUAGCGUUUGGCACAGACAGGGCAUGUUUGCAUGUGAUCUGGCUUGGGGCUCCCAGCCAUGGGAGGCAGGGAGUUACCACCCCCACUGUUUUUACUCUUUAGGAUGGGGGUAACUUGUCCCAGACUGCACAACUCCAAGGUGCCAGUAUGUAGCAUCCCCCCCAGCGGCCAUGCUCCAUGUCUUAGCCUUUCACCUCAUUUCUGUGGAGACAGCUUCGAGGCUGGCACAAGGUAGGUGCUCCAAUGCCCACUGUGAAGUCAGCUCACUCUGGAGACCAAGGUUGGGGUUUUGUUUCCCUAAUUCGUACCAUCAGAAAAUGGACCGGGGAAAUUCCGAUGUCUCAGGGAUUGGUGGAAGGCCUCUCUGCUGGAGAACCCAUGUGCUAAGAGAAGGCAUCGAUCUCACGGGCUGAUUUCUGUUUCUAACUUGCUGGAAGUCGGGCCCCAGCACCAGCCUGGGGUAGGACCCAGCCUCGUAGGCAGCAGCUGGGAGCAGUGUUUCUGAAAGCCCAGCUGCAGGGCUGCGGUUCUCACUACGUGAUUGGGGACAUGUGAAGGCAGGGCAAUUGAACUGCCGGUGACCCCGAGGAGCAAGGAGGCUAAUUAAAGCUUCUCUCCCCACACUUCAGUCAAGCCCCUCCUGCCCUUCCUCCCGAUGGAGGGGCUGAUAAGGAGGGAUUGGAUUUAUGAAAAGAGAUGAAGAUGUUUGGAUAAGCCGAGGUACCAAGGCAAGCCGGCCGGACGAGUUCUGGCCUGACCAAGGCAGCGGGGUGGCUGACAGAGCCUUACAGGCAGUCAAGACAGAAAAAGAGGAAGGGGGAGAACAGAGUGCUAACCCUGACACCCCUCGGGCCUGCGGGCCUGCUCUCCUAGCAGUUCAAAUGGAAAUGGAGACUUGCACGGCCCCCUCCCCCUCCCACUCUCCCCUUUCCCCAGCAGCUCCACUCCCAGAUCUGCCCCUCAGAUCCCUCAUGAUUGGAAGCAACAUUGGGGCAGGAGGCACAGUGAGUCCAGACUUGAGAUGAAGAAUUUUUCCAUUCAGAGGUGAAGAGGCUAGGCUGUCCCCGGGAGCCGAGCGAACACCGUUGCAUGUAGCUGGCCUUCACUCCAGCCUCUCUUUUGGGUGGUGUGUUUGUUAUCAGGCCUGCAGUGUUGCUGUUCCUUCAGUGGCCCAGAGCUCUUUGGUGCCUUCCUUAAGGACACCUAGCUGAGAAGUGCUAAUCCGGAGGUCCAGACCAAGUAGCAAAUUUAAAAGACUAUAUCCGGCCCGUCAGACUUUGUUCCAAGGGACGGCACAUGCUAGCCCAGUCUCGUGGGGCAAAGUGGGACUGCAGGAGGAUCUACAUAAGUCCUGGUGUUUGUCCUGGACAGUCCUGACACACUCCUGAACAGGCAGAUCUUUUCCAUCCCCCUCCACCUAGUCCCUCUAGCAGUUCCUAGGAGAAGGGUGCUAACAGCCUGGAGACUAAUCCACUCCAAGUCACAAGCACUGUCCAGGGAAGCCCCAGUUUCUAAUCAACCUAGAAAGGAAAUAUCUAACAUGGUUUUCAUAUAGUUGGGGUGCUAUGGCUUCCUGAACUCUCACUUUGGCCCCGGUAUUGGCUGCCCCUUGCCUACUUCUUGGUGUACCCAACCAGCCACACUCAGCCAGCGGGCUGUGGGUAGAAAAAAAAGGGCUCGCUCGUAUCUGCUGACCAGGACAUGACUGGUGAGUGUUGUGUCCGUGGACCUGGAUGUGGACCACACAAAAAGCACAAGCAGAGCUAGAUUCCUGUGUGCUGGGGAACCUGGGAAGACAGUAGGUUUUUCUGAUUCUAGUUGCAUAGGAGAUCAAGCCAGUAUACCACACCUCCCGGCCUCGCCCCUCCCUUGGGCAGAGCAAGAAUUACCUCCUUCCCUUUAGCUCACAGAGAAGACUUAGCUUCCUAUUCCGUGGCAGGAUCAUUCAGGUGGGCUGAUGUACGUCAACUUGAACAACUAUUUCCUGUGCUUUUUACCCUUUAUGGUGAAUUCCUCUUCACCUGCACAUGCACACGCACACGCACACGCACACACACAGCAAAACUAGGAACUAGCUUGCUAAGUCUGGUCUAGCCUGGUCAGAUCAAGUUUUGGAGUUUGGGCUGGGAGGUAGGUAGUCCUAAAGGCAGGCUGGGGGAACCUUCUGUGUGUUGAUUAUCAAGUGUCUCGCCUUCCGGUUAAAUGCAAAGCACGGUGUAUAAAUGAGCUGGGUUCAUUGAUGCCAAGAGCUCCGACUGGGUUCUAACACUGGUCAGGGCACCCACGACUCACUAUGUUAGUGUCAGUUUAACAGUUGGCUACGUGGGCUGGGGGUAAUAUUAAUGAUUACUCGUGAGUUAAGUGGAUACGGACCUCUUACCUAGAAAGCUGCCGGCCUUUGCUAGUCUUUCUGGGCAGUGCACUGUGCAGGCUGUGAUUGGCAGCGCUGCUAGGAGCUCCGUGGAGAACGCACACAAAAGAUCCUGAAGCCACAGGAGGUUGGACCGGGCCUCGGUCUGGUGCUUCAUCCAGAAAAAGCCCCCGGAAAGUGCCGCUCUGAGUCCUCCAGUUCGGGAUGCCAAGGGCUGUGGGCUGGGCUUUAGUGGUGAGUAUAUGGCCAGUGGAGCUGGCGGGACCUCUGCUGAACAAGAAGCAAGGACUAAACACAAAGUGGGCAUCAAAGAGGUUGGAGGUCUGGAUCAGAUGUCCCCUCGGCCUGCGUCUCCUCCAGGAGGGGCUCCAGCUAGACUCUGUUGUGGAAAUCCUUGGAAGCCCUGGGGAACCCUAAGUAUGAUACCACAGAGGAGAGGGAGAGGGAGAUGGGGAGAGGGGAAGACGGCUGUUCGGAAGGGGAAGGCAAUAGCAAUGUCUUUGCUCUAGCAAAACCCUGCAGACUGCGGCUUAAACGGUGGGCGUUUGCCUCUUGCAGUUCUGAAGGCCUAGAUAAAGAGGUCCCUUCUGAGGCCUCUCCUCUUCCUCCCACCUUGCUGAUCAUAUCACAAUGGCCCCCUUGGGUCACCUCUCUGUGCCCGCACAUGUCCAUCCUAACCUCUUUUGGUGAGGAUAGCAGGAGUAUUGGGCUGGGGCCACUGCACAGGACUGUAGUUUUACCUUGGACGGCUGCUCUAAGGUGACAGCCUAUGACACAUACGGGACCAGGACACAGAACAAGGCGUGUUAUUUGUGUUAGGGUUUAGCAUCCUUUAUGAGUCCUAAUCAGUGUGACUAACUAGCCCAGGGAGAGGUAGGACCCUGUAUGGGUACACUUCUCAAUAUAUCAACUAACCCAAGGCUAAAGGGGCCCAGAGUUAUGGGCUCAUUGUUUUCCAAGAGGAGACAAGUUGACCUCCCAUGCCAGAGUCCAUGCACAGGGCCUAACACCUUAGGUAAGUUCGAUGCUUUUGGGGCUCUUGGAGAAAUAUUCUCCAUGAGGAGAUCUGCCCAGGGCAUGAAGGAACACAGCAGAGAGCUGGAGUAUCUGCUGCCAAAGAAACAAGAUGGUAAUAAGGCCCCUUGUAUGGAGGCUGCUAAAAACUACACCAAAAUCCACAAAAAUGUCAAGAAUGUGGUAUUUAGAGCCCUGUGUCUCUGCCCUGCGUCUCCAGAUUCCUGACUCUCAGUUCCAAGAGUAUUCUCUGAGAGGGCAAGGCACACUCAUGGCGCCUGUGAAUCUCUUUCUAGAGGUCCCUGUGUGCUCCUGGAGGCCUUGUGUUUUCUUACUGUUUUUGUGUUUGCUCUGCGGAGGGCUCAUCAGCUCCCGGGUGAAGGAGAAUCACUUCCCACAUGGUGGGAAAAGCCACCGGAAGCUCCCUCUGCCUCCUUCAAACGCUGGUCCUUCCGGAUAUGUGGGCUGCCUCAUGGUCCCGAGGGGACUCCCCAGGAUAUUUAUAAGGUCAUUUGUAUUUAAUUUACAGGAGUGAUGUGGAAUUUUAGGAGAUGAAUUUUGAUACGAGGAUCCAACUUGGGCGGCAAGAAACAAUUUGAAGGUGUUGUCGCUGGUCACAUCCGCUGCACAUUUGAACACCAGUAUAACUUAGCGUGGCGUUGAUAAUAGGAAGUCAACAGUACAUGGUAACUAGGUAAAUAAAUAGGCAGUUAGAUGACAGGUGAAUGGAUAGACAGACAGGCAGGCAGGUAGACAGACAGAUAGAUGAUUGAUACAUGAUUAAAUGACAGGUCAGACACAAAGAUAAAGGGUUGUUGGUAUUGUGACUUGAAUAUAAAAUGUCCUCCAUAGGCUCAUGUAUUCAAACACUUGGUCCCCAGUUGGUGGCACACUAUUUGGGAAGAGUCUCACUAGAAGAAGCGGGUUAUAGGAGGUAGAUGGGCUCUGAGGUUUUAUAACGUGGUCUCACCUUUCCUGUGAACUCCCUGCUUCCUUACUGCAGAUACAACGUGACAGGCAGCCUUCUGCCUCUUGGUAUCACAGCUCUUUUCCAUGAGCCCUCUUGUCUCUUGAACUGUAAGCCUGGGCCAUUGCCUUGUCACAUCUUUUUAGAUGCUUGCAAGUUUCCCAAAUGAAAUGUAGUUUAAAAUCAACACCACAGAGGAUACACUCGGGGCAUUAGGCCUCACCGGCCACUUCCACACAUUGCCCAGGUUCUGCUUUAUACUGAACGGACUGCCGUCCGUUUGGUAAAGUGGUCAAGUCCUGUCCCUUCUGGCUUCCCUCCCUCCUCUAGGACCCGGAUCCAGACUUCAUCUCAGUGUUUUGAGGCAAGAGGAUCCCAAGUUCAAGGCCAACCUGGGCUGCACAGUAAGAUUUCUCCGCAAAAAGACAAAGCACAACCGUCAGAGAUGGCAGCGAGGGAAAGGUCACGGCAGACGGCACUCCCGUACAUGGAAAACUGAAGACGGAAUUCUAAAGGCGGACAAGCAGUGGCCAAAAUAUUGUGGAAAGUGGCCACCCCCUCCCUGAGACAGCUCAUUAGAAAGGCUGUGGAGUGCCAGAUCCCAGGAGGUGUGUCGGGAGGGGGUGACUGAGGCUCUCCGGACAAGAGGCCAGCUCCCUGUCUUCUGCUGAAUGUGGAUACCUACACAGCUGUGUCCCGCAACCAGCUUGUCUCAGGCCACAAGAAGUCUCAUCCAAAGCUGAGCCAGAUAAGGACCACCCCCUGUAGCUCCAGAAACUGUGGGUGCCUCCAAGAACUGAGAAGUAGCCUCCCAAUGGGUUCCCAGAAGUGGAGGAGGGCAGAACCGCUCUUAUAGGAUGUGUACAGGGUGUGUCUGUGUCCCAGUGGCUCACUGACUUGGUCACCAAUGAUCACACACACCAAAUCUCCAAGCUGCUUUAUUUUCAUUUAUUUAUUUUUGGUCUUUUUGAGACUGGCCUGGGACUUGCUAUAGAGACCUGGAUGACCUGGAAUGUACUAUGUAGACCAAGCUAACCUUAAGCUUUCUGUGAUCCCUCAGCCUCUUAACCUCUCAAGUAUUGGGCUUACAGGUGUGUGCCACGACGUCUAGCUUCCCCUGGAUAGUUGAAAGAGGACAGCCUUUAAGUUCCCCUUUAGUCCUUACCUUGCUAUGCUUCUUUAAAAAAAAAAAAAAAAAAAAAAAAAAAAAAAGCACUGACCUUGCUCCAUGACAGAGGGAGCUGUGGGUGUUUCUUGUCAUUGAGCGAACAACCUGCAAUACCACGGUCAGAUCCGGGCUGCUUGUUAUGAGGUCCCUUGAUGCCAUGAGACACAGUGGACCCAGGAUCCAUGGGGCUCUCACCGGUGUUGAUAGUGUCUCUUUAAUAAGGAGUGCAUUGAAAAGCAAGAAGAAGAAUGUAUAGUGAAUAUAGAUUACUAACAUGGUUGUUUCUUCUCAUUAUUAGGUGUGUCAGGUACGUAGCUGUCUGUGCUAUGCUUUUAAGGUCCUCGUAAAGCAAUAAACUUAUCUGUGCACCCGUGUCGGUACAAA
rnacentral:sRNA from 1 species